rnacentral:lncRNA from 1 species
GGUGAAUGUGCAGAGCUGAGCCACGAGAGAAGCAUUUGCUGAGCUGUUGACCUCAGUGGCUCUGCUCUGCUCUGUAUGGAUUGUUAUGGUUGGUUAAUCUUAGAAGACUUCUGAGUAAUUUCUAUGGAAUGACUUGGUAUGAGGAAAUGUAACCUUUGGGGAUUAAAGAGCUGCUCUCAAGUCCCUACUCCCACCUCAUUCCAGGAGCAUUAAUUGCCUUUGAAUGGAAGGCAUUGACAGGGCCUUAUGAUUCUCAAGUUCCUCAUUUCUGAGUUUUGUGUUUUGGACCACAAAUCGAUAGAGGUUGAUAGCUUCUUAUACUUUUUACAUUCAUAAAGUCCUCAGUUGAAUUCACUCAGAGCUUUUGUAUAUAAUGUAGUAUCAGAAAUAGAAAUAGAACAUUAAUAGGUAAACACAUAGGAUUAUGAAAGUAUAGAAACAAUGAGUAAGGAACCUAUUUUAGCCAGCUUUUUCUUGUUGUGAUCAAAAUGUAUGAUAAGAGCAAAUUAAAGGAAGAAAGAUUUAUUUUGGCUCACAAUUUCAGAGAUCUCUGUCAGAUUGACCAACUCUAUUCUCUGGGCCUGAGGUGAGACAGAACAUCAUGGAAGGGCAUGGCUGAGGAGAGCUGCUGAAUUCAUGAUGGGCAGGAAGAAGAGAGAGAGGGAUAGUGUGCAAGGAGCCAGAAACAAGAUGUAGUCCCCAAGGGCAUACCCCUAUUUCUUCAAGCCAUGUCCCAUUUACCUACAGUUAUCACCCACAGUUCAUUCAGC